rnacentral:rRNA from 1 species
AUGGGCUCUGCGCACACCCAGGCUCAAUCCUCUCCCGAGAGACGCGUGAGACGGGCUUUGGCGGAGGCAAACCUGUCUGGACCCGGGCUCGUGGCGGCGAUCGCCUCCAGGGUCUCAGAGCUCCACAUGGACGAGCAGCGGGGUUUCAUCAGUACAGUUGUGACGCUGCUGUCAUCCUCGAUCCUGGGCACCCCGCCACCACCAGCCCCUGCAUCGCGGCCUCUCCGGCAGCGCCUGCUCGGUGUGGUGAAAGCACCCCGGCAAAGUGCUAGGCUGCUGCGUCUACGCUCCAACCUAUCCUCCUCGAGACGCUCGCAGGCGGCGAUCAGCGUCAAGCUCGGCUUCAUUAAGCAUGUGCAGGACUUCAACGAUGACACCCUGCUAGAGUACCUGAACUUCUUCCGCAGCCCGAUGCCGCCGGAAAACGUGGCCAAGCUGGCGGAGAUUGCUGGUCUGUCCUCGCCUGCCCAGCUGCGUCUGCCGGACAACGAGCUACAAGCGAUUCUCGAGGAGCUCUCGGCCAGGGCUCCGUAG